rnacentral:rRNA from 1 species
AGACUCUGUGCGCGUGCAUAUCAAUAAGCGGAGGAAAAGAAACUAACAAGGAUUCCCCUAGUAACGGCGAGUGAAGCGGGAAGAGCUCAAAUUUGAAAUCUUCAAGGUUCUACCUUGACGAAUUGUAGUUUAUAGAAGUGUUUUCUGUUAGUAGAGUGGCAAAAGUUCUUUGGAAUAGGACAUCAUAGAGGGUGAGAAUCCCGUAUUUGGUCAUUCUUUCUAGCUUUGUGAUACACUUUCAACGAGUCGGAUUGUUUGGGAAUGCAGUCCAAAAUGGGUGGUAAAUUUCAUCUAAAGCUAAAUAUUGGCGAGGGACCGAUAGCGAACAAGUACCGUGAGGGAAAGAUGAAAAGAACUUUGAAAAGAGAGUUAAACAGUACGUGAAAUUGUCAAAAGGGAAGCGUUUGACACCAGUGUUGUUUUCUCGAAAAUCAAUUAAAAAGAGUUGGAUUUUGUAUUGUUAAGACCUUAUCAGCUUACUGUACUUUUUUCUUGCUCUUUUUAAUGCACUUUUCGUUUAACAAGUCAACAUCAAUUUCUUUUGUUGUAAAAGGGUCAUGAGGAAGAUGGCUUUCUUUUCGGAGAAAGUGUUUAUAGCCUUGUGCCUCUGCAAUCGGAGAGAUUGAGGUCUGCAGCGUAGAUCCUUCGGGGUUAGAUACGGUUAGCUGCUAAGUUAUAGCUUUUUCAUAGACAACUUGUUGACUAUGAUUUAAUCAUUGUAGCUUACUCGCUUAUGCUAUUUUACCUACGCUUAGGAUGUUGACAGCAGUAUAGACUGU